rnacentral:lncRNA from 1 species
AGAUCCUUUUUCUUUCUCAUCAGUAUGUUGUAAGCUAUCCAUGUAUUCCUGUUUCAUUGCUCUUUAGAGAAUGCAACUGGACAUCAUUCUGACAAGUUUGCAGGAUCAUACACAUGUCGCCUCCCUACUUGGCUAUAGCUCGCCCUCUGAUGCCACUGACCUCUCUGCUGUGUGCACUGGCUAUGGAAACCUGUCAGAUCAGCCCUAUGGCACUCAGAGCUGCCAUCCCGACACCCAUCUGGCUGAGAUUUUGAUGAAAACUCUCUUAAGAAAUUUAGGAUUUUAUACAGAUCAAGCAUUUGGAGAGCUAGAAAAGAAUAGUGAUAAAUUUCUACUUGGAACAUCAUCAUCAGAGAACAGUCAGCCUGCUCAUCUUCAUGAACUGCUGUGUUCAUUACAGAAACGGCUACUG